rnacentral:rRNA from 1 species
UGGCGGACGGGUGAGUAACGCGUGGAAAACCUGCCGUAUACUGGGGGAUAACACUUAGAAAUAGGUGCUAAUACCGCAUAAGCGCACAGCUUCGCAUGAAGCGGUGUGAAAAACUCUGGUGGUAUACGAUGGUUCCGCGUCUGAUUAGCUAGUUGGUGGGGUAAUGGCCUACCAAGGCAACGAUCAGUAGCCGGCCUGAGAGGGUGAACGGCCACACUGGGACUGAGACACGGCCCAAACUCCUACGGAAGGCAGCAG